CCUACGGGGGGCAGCAGUGAGGAAUAUUGGUCAAUGGACGAGAGUCUGAACCAGCCAAGUAGCGUGAAGGAUGACGGCCCUAUGGGUUGUAAACUUCUGUUAUAUGGGAAUAAAAUGUUCCACGUGUGGGAUUUUGUAUGUACCAUAUGAAUAAGGAUCGGCUAACUCCGUGCCAGCAGCCGCGGUAAUACGGAGGAUCCGAGCGUUAUCCGGAUUUAUUGGGUUUAAAGGGAGCUUAGGGGGCUUGUUAAGUCAGUUGUGAAAGUUUGCGGCUCAACCGUAAAAUUGCAGUUGAAACUGGCAGUCUUGCGUACAGUAGCUGUGGGCUGCAUUCGUGUUGUAGC
rnacentral:rRNA from 1 species